GCAAACAGAGGAGCCACAGAAGAGGCAGAGGAGAGAGUGGAGGCUUGUCUGUCAGGGUUCUUUACAGACUGCCUGCGGCUUGAAAGAGUUCCAUCCUUGAACCUUCCCCGGAUUGCACUGCUAAGCCCUCACACUUGGGAAGGUGUUAUACACAGGCCUCCUGCAGGGAGGCAGGGACAGAUUGGUUUCCCUAGGAUAGGACUUUAGCAUGGGCUGAAGUGCAUAGAAAGAAUUCCCUGUCAUAUGAGGACCCAGAGAAUGGCAGCAUCUGCAAACCAGGAAGGGUGUCACUGGGAAUCAACUCAUGUGUCACUUCAUGAGUACUAAUUGCAAAUGCAUUUCCCCUGGUCUCUGAGCAAAAGCUGAGGGAUUAAGCCCACAGCACAUUAAGGGAAAAAGAGCUCUGCACAAAGCCCAUCCACACUCAGAAGCAGCCCUAAAGGGUUAGGGACAGGCCUGAGUCUACAAAGCUAGCCUACAGACACUGAACUCUACUGUGCACAAAAGUCAGACUCCAGAGAGAAAUAUUAUAGAAUCUCUUUGAAGUGGCAAUGUUCCCAGGCUUACACCCUAGGAAUAUCAUACACUUACUUGUCAUAACUGAUUGAAAGUGUCCUAAAUGCAGUUGACAAUAUCAUAAUAGAUAUUUGUCUAUGGCCAGCCUGCUGUGUGAGCUACGUAAAAGAGCACUGGGGAGAUGCAAUGGGAGGAAUAAUUGAUCCAGGUCAUCAAAGGGGGCAGCAGAGACGUCAUUUGUUGUGUGAACUCCAUCAAGCCACUGAAUCGAUCCUGCACUCCUUAGUAUGCACACUGCUCCUCAAAAAUGCUUGCUUGGCCUCUCUUGGAAGCUCUCGGACAUGUCUGUGAGCUCUUUGUGGAGAACCCUUUUUUUUUUUUAAAAAAAUCUUUAUUGGUUAUUUAACUUAAUUAAUUUAAGUUAAUUUAUUUAAUUUCAAACGUUUUCCCACAUCCCAGUGUCACUUCCUCAAACAUCCUCCCCCAUCCCCCUUUUCUCCUGCUUCUCUAAGGGUGUUCCCCCACCCCCCUACUGGGCGGGAGCCUCACUGCCCUGGCAUUCCCCUACACUGGGGCAUUGAGCCUUCACGGGACAGAAGGCCUCUCCUGCCAUCUAUGCCAGAUAAGGCCAUCCUCUGCUACAAAUGAGGCUGGAGCCAUAGGGCCUUCCAUGUGUGCUCUUUGGUUGGUGGUUUAGUCACUGGGAGUUCUGGGGUGUCUGGUUGGUUGAUGUUGUUCUUCCUAUGGGGAUGCAAACCCUUACAGAUCCUUCAGUCCUUCCACUAACUCCUCCAUUUGGGUCCCCAGGCUCAAUCCAAUGGUUGCCUGUGAGCAUCCUCAUCUCUAUUGGCUGUAGGCAUCCACAUAUGUGUCUGGUUAACAUGAAAGCCAUGGUAUAUGUCCAAGUAUCUGUGUCCAUACUAAAACAUAGAGGUCAAAGUGCCCAGCUCAGCCCCAAACAGGCAUCCGCUCCAUGUUAUCCCUCCCCUGUACUGAUCUCCCCAGUGCUGGGAGACAGCAUUUCAGUGCAGGAUUCCUCCCCUCAUCUUCAUUCUGUAACCCAGCCCUUCUUCCUGAAGUUUCUCUAUGAAGUCUUCUAUGGCGGCUCAAGCUGGACCCAAGUGAAAAGGAUCCCCAGGGACCAAUCUCACCACUCUUGUGCUCACGCCCUAAGCACAGUGGAAUCCUUGACCUGGAAUCCUAUCUUUCUGUGUGUACACAAGGAGGCCCUACCAUUCUGCCCUUGCUGGACACAUGGAAGCUCCUCAUGUCUAGAGAGGGUCAUCUGCAGGACAAGCCUGGGCUGCUUUGCUGAGGCCUGCCAGCUUUUCCAGCCUCCCAGGUGCCCAGUGACAGGUGAAGCCUCACUUAGGAUUUCCUCCAGGGUGUUUCUAGAGAGCAGCAGAGCCCAGGGGGUUUAAGAAGUCUAUGGAUCACUCAAGCAGGAUCAUCUGGAUGUUGGAUUUGAUAAGGAGAAACAAUGCACAGUUGCAGGACGGGGAUCCCAGGCAGAGGAAAGAAAGGACUUGUGAGCAGCAAAGUGCAGAAGAGCUCCGCAUAGUGCAGCCUGGGCUGGUGCUCGGGGAGGCAGCAGGCUGGCAACGCUUCUGUUACUGCCAGGAAAUAGGGCAUUGAGCUCAGAGACCUGAAUCCAAACCAUCCUGCUAUAGGAGGCUCGAACAGCAAACUUAGUGAUUGUGGAUACCAGGUUCAUGAGCGGGAGAUACUGGAGACAUUCUAGGCAUAAUGUUUUCUUCACUGAGGGAGGGAGGGAUGGAGGCAUGAAGAGAGAGAGGGAGUGAGUGAGUGAAUGAAUGAACGAAUGAACGAAUGUGGUCAAUGUAUGGUUAACUUGAGAUCUCAUCGUAGCUCAGUGCUUUCUCCUACCUUCAGGGCACCGCCCUCUCUGUAUGAGAAGCACUCUUAGAAAAUUGCAGGAGGAGCCUCGGAGGAUGUGGAAAGCCUUUCCUUCCCUCUUCUUCCAAAGUGGGGAGCAUCCUGCCUUUGACGGUUAACUGUCCUCCUGAGGGAGAAGCUGACAGUGGAACUCAUGAUGGGGCACCUAUGCCUCAUCAGAGGUGACAGAUCCUCACCAAGUUGUUCUUUGGAGGCAGAAGCCAAUUUAAGCAAUCCCCACAUUCCUAUCAUUCCUUGAGAAACUCCUCCCUCCUCCUACAGACACAGCAGACCUAGGGCACCACCUGCAUCACCUCCCCCAUGCAUCCUUCUGAGGUGCACACUUCUUCAGGGUCUGAUGUCAGCCUCUGUCAGUGAAGGCUGGGUUUUUAUGGCCCAUGUAUGGAAUGAGGGAACAGCAGUUCUGGAGACUUGGGGAGGGCCUACCUAGACAGAAUUUGUUUCAUUAAAGACUGGCAAGCUGCCAGGAUCAAUUUCCUAACCACAGAACAUGUCCUUGAGACCUUCCUUGCACUCAGCUGUCUCUUCACCCUGCUGUCCCCAGGACUGCCCUUUGUUCCCACAAUCCUCUGGUGACUGUAACUGUCCUAGGUCUGUGCUUGCAUGCGGCCUCCCAUAAGCAGAAAGUGGGAGCUGUCCCAUUCGGCCAGGUCUGCCCUGCUUGGACACUGGUGUCACAUUCUCAGAGGCAUGGAGCUGUGCAGCAAGUAAACCCUUGGACACUAGAAAAGUCUCACUCACAGCUGUCAUUCUGGGUGGCAGAACGGUACACCCAAGCCAGCAGCUUACACCAGACCUGACAGCAGCUCUUUCUAGAGACUGAGGCCAAAGGCCUGGUGUUCUGUCCCCUGCAUGCCUCAACUGACGUGGUGACACCUGGCAUAACUCUCCCUCUGUCUAGGCUCUUAGUGAAGUUUGAGUAUUCGGUCUACUUUGUUUUCC
ensembl:lncRNA